AGAGAGAGAGAGAGAGAGGGAGAACAAGAAAUGCAUAUCACUGUAAAAAUUGUCGACAUCAGCAAAGAAUUCUUUCUCCCCAUUUCCCCAUAUGUGUCUUGGGUAAAAUAACCUGUAACUUCGCUACAUCAUCAACCAUUAAAUGCAUAUGAAAUUUACACAAAUAUUGCAUAUGCAUUAUUUGUAAUUACAAAAAUUCCCAAUGUAAAAAAACUGUAGUUGUUCUAAAAGCUCAUAUACACACUGGCAAAGUCUAGCGAUGACAAAAACUUCCAGCACGUACUUUAUUACUCCGUCCAUAAAUAAUAGCCACAUUUGGCUUUUUAUUUUGUCUAAAAUUAUUUGCCACAUUUAGAA
rnacentral:misc_RNA from 1 species